rnacentral:rRNA from 1 species
CUAUGCGCCUUGCCAGCCCGCUCAGAAACUUAAAGGAAUUGACGGGGCCCGCACAAGCGGAGGAACAUGUGGUUUAAUUCGAUGAUACGCGAGGAACCUUACCUGGGCUUAAAUGGGGAGUGACAGCUGUCGAAAGAUGGUUUUCUUCGGACACUCUUCAAGGUGCUGCAUGGUUGUCGUCAGCUCGUGCCGUGAGGUGUCGGGUUAAGUCCCAUAACGAGCGCAACCCUUACCGUUAGUUACCAUCAGGUUAAGCUGGGGACUCUAGCGGGACUGCCACCGUAAGGUGAGAGGAAGGUGGGGAUGACGUCAAAUCAGCACGGCCCUUAUGUCCAGGGCUACACACGUGUUACAAUGGCCGGUACAAAGGGCAGCUACUUCGCGAGAAGAUGCUAAUCUCGAAAGCCGGUCUCAGUUCGGAUCGAAGUCUGCAACCCGACUUCGUGAAGCUGGAUUCGCUAGUAAUCGCGCAUCAGCCAUGGCGCGGUGAAUACGUUCCCGGGCCUU